UUUGGAAGUAAAAAUCGUAACAAGGUCUCCGUAGGUGAACCUGCGGAGGGAUCAUUACACAAAUAUGAAGGCGGGCUGGAACCUCUCGGGGUUACAGCCUUGCUGAAUUAUUCACCCUUGUCUUUUGCGUACUUCUUGUUUCCUUGGUGGGUUCGCCCACCACUAGGACAAACAUAAACCUUUUGUAAUUGCAAUCAGCGUCAGUAACAAAUUAAUAAUUACAACUUUCAACAACGGAUCUCUUGGUUCUGGCAUCGAUGAAGAACGCAGCGAAAUGCGAUAAGUAGUGUGAAUUGCAGAAUUCAGUGAAUCAUCGAAUCUUUGAACGCACAUUGCGCCCUUUGGUAUUCCAAAGGGCAUGCCUGUUCGAGCGUCAUUUGUACCCUCAAGCUUUGCUUGGUGUUGGGCGUCUUGUCUCUAGCUUUGCUGGAGACUCGCCUUAAAGUAAUUGGCAGCCGGCCUACUGGUUUCGGAGCGCAGCACAAGUCGCACUCUCUAUCAGCAAAGGUCUAGCAUCCAUUAAGCCUUUUUUCAACUUUGACCUCGGAUCAGGUAGGAUCCCCCG
rnacentral:rRNA from 1 species